AAGUCGUAACAAGGUUUCCGUAGGUGAACCUGCGGAAGGAUCAUUAACACGUAUCCACGUAUCAACCAACUGCGAACCUGUUCUCACCUCUCCCUGCCGGUUACAUGAAUUGGAAUUGAGGGUGCAUUUUUAUGAUGGGGCUAGCCCAAAUGCACUCACUACCACCUGUCGCAGCAAUGCGACUGACAAUUGGAGUAACAGUCAGGCCAACCUUCUGCUAUCGCCUCGUACCGUCAUUUCGAGCGAUAGUGGGAACACACAUACUCACCUAUUUCACCCCCUUUUUGCUAGUUGACUUUUAUAUGUUGUCUCAGUGCGGUACGCUCGUAUUCGCUGGAACACACGUUUAUUAUUUGAACGUUAAAAUUACAACUCUUAGCAAUGGAUAUCUUGGUUCUC
rnacentral:misc_RNA from 1 species